CCACCCAUGGGUGUCCCCAGCCCCUCUGCCCUUCCACACCAUUCCCAGGUCCUGCCUGCCCCCCAGCCCCCUUAGGACCCUCCACUUCCACUGGCAGCGCCUUCAGCCCGGGACCUGGCCCAGGCUGCAGCCACCAGCCCUGAACCCCCUGGGAAGGCAAGGGGCAGCCAGCCCAGCCCCACAUCCACCACCUAGCAGCCAGGAGCUGGCCUGAGCCCAGGGCUCCGUCACAGCAUCGCCACUGGGGACCGAGUGUGCCAGGGCCCUGUGCCCAUGCAGCCCAGCAUGUCCUCAGGCCACCAGAGCCGACCCCAGUACAAGGGCAUCCCUGGCUGCCUUGUAGGCUGAGAAUAGGGAGCAAAAGCCAGGCAAAGCAAGGAGUGGGAAGAGGGUGGGUUAGAGACUCAGCCGCUGCUGGGAGCCUCGGUUUCCUAUGGACCCAGGCGCUGGGCCACAUUUCCAGCAGAAAUGAAGAUCAUUGCCAGCUGCUACAUGGGCGUUCAGGGCAUUUGUUCACCACUCCCACUCAGAAUGGCUAGGAGAGUGAACUCUUGGCAAGACUCAAGCUCCAGAGUCACCACUGAAGCCACUUGAAGCCACUUUUCAUCAUGGGGACCUACCAGACACCUCAUCACUAAAACGUGUGUUUGUAUUUUGUAUUAGUUUCCUUUAUAUUUAGAUUUCCUCCUCCCAUGUGCAGGAGCGCUUGCCCCUCAGUGAGUGGGGAACAACCCGCUGCCUCUGGAAACCUUCAACUCUCACAGCAGGUUCUCUCCAGGAGCUGACACAGCAGAUAGGGCAGCAGUGUGCAGCUUCACAGAGAAGGUUUAUUUUUAGCGCUUUGCUGGAUCAGUUUAAGGGCACCAUAUGAAACGCUUCUGUCUAUGGCUGAGCAGAUAAGGAGAGAAACGUCCUCAUCCAUGGAGAGCCCUGCAGUGAAGGCAGGGACACAGAUAUCAACAGGGAAUGCGCAGGCAGGCAGCUCCCAGUCAUCCCCAAAGGGUUUAUCAGCAGAAGCACAGUGCUAGGUGUUUACACCGAUGUUUGCAAUAACCUUUUGUCCUAGGGAGUUUGCUAAUGGACUUAAAAGAAGUUUAUCUUUCAGGAUACUGUGGAGGAAGUAAUAAGUAGUCACACGCAUCCCACUGCAAGGGAUAUCCAAGGGCGAGGGAGGGGAUUCUGCCCCUCUGCUCCGCUCUGGUGAGAUCCCACCUGGAGCUCUGCAUUCAAAUCUGGAGCCCUCACCACAGGAACGACAUGGAUCUGUUGGAGUGAGUCCAGAGGAGGCCACGGAGAUGAUCUGAGGGCUGGAGCACCUCUUGAACGAGGACAGGCUUGCCCCUUCAGCUCCCCUGCUUUCGCUUUCCCAGAGCCCUUUUCAGUACUGGGAGGCUGCUCUAUGGUGUCCCCGCAGCCUUCUCUUCUCCAGGCUGAACAACCCCAACUCUCUCGGCCUGUCCUCUGAAUGGAAGGUGCUCCAUCCUCAGGUUAUCUUCAUGGCCUACUCUCGACUUGCUCCAACAGCUUCAUGUCCUUCCUGUGCUGAGGACUCCAGAACUGGACACAGGGCUCCAGGUGGGUUCUCACCAGAGUGGAGCAGAGGGGCAGAAUCCCUUCCCUCAUGCUGCUGGUCCCACUGCUUUGGAUGCAGCCCAGGACACAGUUUGACUUUCUGGGCUGUGAGAACCCAUUGCCGACUCAUGUUGAGCUUCUCAUCCCCCAGCAACCCAAGAAGUAAAAACCUCUGGGAAUGAGAAGUAAAAACCAUACAAGGAGAGUCCCCUAUGCUAGUUUUUCUUUUCUUUUGUGGUGUUGGGUCUCACCAGGCUUCCCAGCCACCCUCCACACAGCCAGACUGAGAAGCUUCCAAAAAGGCCACAAGCUGGUGUUUGCAGCUGCUCCAACCACUGCUGCCUGGGCUUUCACCACCUCGGAUUGCAUGUCCCUGCCUCUUCCCCCAUCUGUCUCCCAGGCAGGGCUGUAGUGAGCAGCCAGAGAAGAAGAGGAACAAGAAAGGCAGCUCCUGGAAAUGAGGACCCUCUCCUGUGCUUUCUAUUCCAGCUGGCACAACCUCGUCGAGAGCAAAAGGACUUGGUUAGCACUUCCGCGGCAGGGAGGAUGCAAAGGUCACACAGAGCCCAGUGGCCCCUUGGCAGAGGGCUCACUGUGCCGGGCACGGCUCUGAUUUCUGCACCGUCACCUCGGCUCAGCUUCUGGUGAGGGAGGGCCAGCACGGGCAGCUUGGCAGGGCUCUGCCCAGGGGUGGGCAGCAUGCUGGGACACGUUGAGGAGCUUUCUGCCCUUGUCACGCCCUGUCCGGCUCUGCGCAAUGGGUCAGACCUUGGCCAUGCACGCACAGUGAUACCGAAAAUGCCAGCAAAUAAACUCUCUGAGACUUGUUUUG